GACGAACCGAGCGAACGUUGUUCGGAAUCACUGGGCUUAAAGGGCGCGUAGGCGGGUGCUCAAGUCCGGGGUGAAAUCCUCCAGCUCAACUGGAGAACUGCCUCGGAUACUGGGUGCCUCGAGGGUGGUAGGGGUAUGCGGAACUAUCGGUGGAGCGGUGAAAUGCGUUGAUAUCGAUAGGAACUCCGGUGGCGAAGGCGGCUCACUGGCCCGAUACUGACGCUGAUGCACGAAAGCGUGGGGAGCAAACAGG
rnacentral:rRNA from 1 species